rnacentral:rRNA from 1 species
UUAGGGGCUAAUCGACAUGGGGGCACCCUGUGCCAGCAUGCCGCGUGUGUGAAGAAGGCCUGCGGGUUGUAAAGCACUUUUCGGCUGGGAAGAAAAGUCCGGCGUUAACACCGCCGGGCCUUGACGUUACCGGCAGAGAGCACCGGCCAACUCUGUGCCAGCAGCCCGCGGUAAUACAAGAGGGGUGGCAAGCCCUUAAAUCCGGAAACCCCCCUGGGCCUAAAAGGCGGGGCCGUUGGGGUGGCUAAAAGCAAGGUCGGUUGUUAAAAUCCCCCGGGCCUUUAAACCUGGGAAACUUGCCAGUCGAAUACUACUUUGGCUGGGAGUUAUGGUAAGAAGGGGAAAGUGGGAAUUUUCCCGGUGUAAGCCGGUGAAAAUGCUGUAAGAAUAUCGGGAAGGAAACACCCAAAUGGAAUCCACUUAGUGAAAUUUCCGCCGGGCCCCCCCUGGCAGGAUCCGAACCCAAUAUGGGGAAGAAGCCUCCCAAAACCGCGUUGGGAAUGCCAUAAGCUUUGGAGUAUCUCUAUAGUGUCACACCCUAAAAUAACCGAAUACCCCGCGCGCCCCGAUAAUGGCCGCGCCUGCAAAACCUUGCUAAACAUUCCG